rnacentral:rRNA from 1 species
CCUACGGGGGGCAGCAGUGGGGAAUAUUGGACAAUGGGGGGAACCCUGAUCCAGCCAUGCCGCGUGUGUGAAGAAGGCCCUCGGGUUGUAAAGCACUUUCAGUGAGGAAGAACGCCUGGUGGUUAAUACCCAUCAGGAAAGACAUCACUCACAGAAGAAGCACCGGCUAACUCCGUGCCAGCAGCCGCGGUAAUACGGAGGGUGCGAGCGUUAAUCGGAAUUACUGGGCGUAAAGCGCGCGUAGGUGGCUUGAUAAGCCAGUUGUGAAAGCCCCGGGCUCAACCUGGGAACGGCAUCCGGAACUGUCAAGCUAGAGUGCAGGAGAGGAAGGUAGAAUUCCCGGUGUAGCGGUGAAAUGCGUAGAGAUCGGGAGGAAUACCAGUGGCGAAGGCGGCCUUCUGGACUGACACUGACACUGAGGUGCGAAAGCGUGGGUAGCAAACAGGAUUAGAUACCCCAGUAGUC